rnacentral:rRNA from 1 species
AAUAGAUACCCAGGUAGUCCACGCCCUAAACGAUGAAUACUUGGUGUUGGCCUUUUUGGUCAGUGCCGAAGGUAACCUGAUAAGUAUUCCACCUGGGGAGUACGCUCGCAAGGGUGAAACUCAAAGGAAUUGACGGGGGCCCGCACAAGCGGUGGAGCAUGUGGUUUAAUUCGACGCAACGCGAAGAACCUUACCUGGGCUUGACAUGCACGGGAAAGCCUCUGGAAACAGGGGCCCCUCUUCGGAGUCCGUGCACAGGUGCUGCAUGGCUGUCGUCAGCUCGUGUCGUGAGAUGUUGGGUUAAGUCCCGCAACGAGCGCAACCCCCGCCCCUAGUUGCCAGCGAGUCAUGUCGGGGACUCUAGGGGGACUGCCGGUGCCAAACCGGAGGAAGGUGGGACGACGUCAAGUCAUCAUGGUCCUUACGCCCAGGGCCACACACGUGCUACAAUGGCACCGACAGCGGGUCGCGAGGGCGCAAGCCCGAGCCAAUCCCCAAACGGUGCCUCAGUUCGGAUUGUCCUCUGCAACUCGAGGGCA